AGUGAACGCUGGCGGUAGGCCUAACACAUGCAAGUCGAACGGCAGCACAGUAAGAGCUUGCUCUUACGGGUGGCGAGUGGCGGACGGGGGAGGAAUACAUCGGAAUCUACUUUUUCGUGGGGGAUAACGUAGGGAAACUUACGCUAAUACCGCAUACGACCUACGGGUGAAAGCAGGGGAGCUUCGGACCUUGCGCGAUUGAAUGAGCCGAUGUCGGAUUAGCUAGUUGGCGGGGUAAAGGCCCACCAAGGCGACGAUCCGUAGCUGGUCUGAGAGGAUGAUCAGCCACACUGGAACUGAGACACGGUCCAGACUCCUACGGGAGGCAGCAGUGGGGAAUAUUGGACAAUGGGCGCAAGCCUGAUCCAGCCAUACCGCGUGUGUGAAGAAGGUCUUCGGGUUGUAAAGCCCUUUUGUUGGGGAAGAAAAGCAGCAGGUUAAUACCUCGCUGUUCUGACGGUACCCAAAGAAUAAGCACCGGCUAACUUCGUG
rnacentral:rRNA from 1 species